CCCUAAAUCCCCAGUCUACUGCCGUCGUCCGUCCUCGUCAUAGCCUCUUCACCGAUUCCUUCUCCACAAACCGUAGUCUGGUACUUUCAUCGCCUCUUCGCCGAUUCCGGCCUCCACGAACCUUAAUCUGCUACCGGCAUCGCCUCUUCCGAAUCCGGCCUCCAUGAACCGUAAUCUGCUCUAGUCAUCGCCUCUUCGCCGAUUCUGGCCUCCACAAACACUAAUCGGCUACCGUCAUCGCCUCCACGAUUCUACGUUUCCCGAUUCAAGUUGUUUGUUACAGUAUGCGAUGUUGCAGGAUGGGUUUUCAAGGUCUCAAUCAGGAUGGUUUUGAAUUAGUUUUUUUAAUCAGCACCAAAAACACAGAUUGAAUUUAGUGUUUCUUAUGGUUUUUUGAGGAAAAAGUUACAUUUAAGCUCAACUUUGCCAUAUUGGUGGCUAUGGUGCUAAUUGUGGUUGAUUUGAUUUGAUUUGAUAAAUAUUGGUUGCCACAAGCAUGUUUCAUGCAUAAGUUAUCCUGUUGCAGCUUAAGCAUCUUUUCGUUUUGGACUUGAUACUCUUUGUGGUGCCCUCAAGUUGAAUUAAAUUGUGUUUGUCAAUUUGUUGUUGGAUGUCAAAUUAAAUUGUGUUUUCCACUUUAUUUAGGAUAAAAGUGAUUGCGAGUGCAGCUAAUGCCAUCAUUUAAGAGCUCUAGACUAUAUGUUCUAAUUUGUCCGCCUUUUAGAAGGUUUUUCAAGUCUUGUGAUAGGAGUAAAGCUGUGACUUGACAGAAGACAGACGACAGAAGAUUUAUUAUUUGGAUUUAAGAUGUGUUACUGUUAUGAUGUUUUUGUUGGUUAAUGAUAUAAUUUUCAUGUUAUUUGUUUUGUUAAAUUCAGUCUGCACUGUUUUGCAGCGUUAAUCAUAAACAUGUUUUGGGGUUUGAGAAAUUUACUAUAUAAUAUUCUCAGGAUAAAAUUAUAUGAUACUGUGGAAUCAUCUUUAUUUAAAGCAGUGGAACUUGUUCAAAUCAAUUUUAUGAUACUGCAAAUACCAUUAUUAAUAUGAAUAAGUCUGAUUUUUAAAUUUGUAAUAAAUAAUUGUCUCUGGGUCAUUUUAUUAAUAUUUGUUUUGAUAAUAAUUGAAAAAAAUGCUAUUUAUAUAAUGGAUACCUGAUUUCAAGAAGCAGUAUGCGGGGAAUGAGUGGGGAAAACCCCUGAAUUUGGGGCGGGCUGGGAUGGGGAUGGGAGUCUCCACAUUCCCCUGUGCCGGGCCUAGGGAUUCCCCAACAUCCCCGUCCCGGGGAUGGGCUAGACUAGGGGAAUCCCCUUGGGCCCUCAGCCCGGACCUGGAGAUAGGGAUCCCCAGCCUCGGCCUGGCCCGUGCCCGUGCCCGUGCCCGUCCCUAGGUUCUAGUUCUACUACUUGUACAUACAUAACUGUAAUAUGCAUAACCAUAGAGAGCAAUAAUUUACUUCGAUUUUUGUUGAACAAAACAGAUAUAUGCUUGGAUUGGUUGUAACUCUGCCAAAUUUGGCCGCUUAUAUGCAGCCGCGCCUAGUUGGCCUGUAAGUUUAUGUAAUUCAAUGUUUAUUAGUAAAUUUGAAAUUAUGAAAAUCAUCUUUAUUAUAAAUUUUUAAAUGAAUUUUCAGCUAGCAAUAUAGUUAAAUGAAACCAAAACAUUGUGUAACCAAAAUAUCUGUUUGGUGUUAGGACCAAUGUUCCAAAAACCGGAAUGGACUAUGACCUGUUCAAGGGUCCGGUUUUCGGUUUGACCGGCUGGAUUGGUCGGUUAGACCGUAUUCUGUAAAAUUAUUUUUAGUCCCUAGAGGUUUGAAACUCAUCAAAAACACCCUUAUAAUAUUCCCUUAAGGUUUGAAAUCUGUCUAAAACACCUGUGUCGCGCAAAGAAGCUGGUGAGUGGUGGCGGCAGCGACGAUCGACGGCCAAUCGAAGUUGGAAUCAUGGGGCUUUUGAUGUAUAGGUUCCGGCGAAUCUUAUGGUGGUGCUAGGGAGUUCCGUCGUCACCGGAACUUGCCGGAAUCAACAAAAGAAGCCUGAUGGUCGCGUGAACUUUAGGUGGACGGUGAGCGAUGAAGGCUAGACGACGGCGACUGAAAAUGGUUGGGUUUUGUCGUGGAGAUGCCGUCACGUCGAAUGGUGGUGUUUUAUUCGUCGAACGAUGCCGGAAUCCGACGAGAUUGAGCAGCGAUUGGACCGCGACUCGGCAGUAUUUCGGUGGUCUGACCGCGGUUCAAUCCGGUUUAACGGGAAAUAACGGUUUUUGUGAGAUAUCGGACCGGAAAUACCGUCGGCUCCCGGUCGAACCAGUCUGACUGGACGGUCCGGUCCGGUUCUCAGAACAUUGGUCAGGACACCAGUAAUGUAGUAUGAACCUAGAAGGAAAGAGAUAAAGUAAAUGAGAUUUUUCUUAUUGUAAUUUUUUAUGAUGAUGCACAGAAAAAUACAGUGAUUGUUAGUUCAAUAAUUGGAGGGGUUUCUGACAAUAUUGGAUCCGGCAUUGCUCAAAGAUUGGGUAUAUAUUGUGUUUAUGAGUUGGAUUACAUGUUUUAUAGUUGUAGAGGUUUUUGUGUUGGCUGAUAUAAAUGUUUGUGGCAGUGACAAAGACUGGUCUCAAUGUGAUUUUGGCUUGCAAUAUAGCCAAGAAUAGUCCUAUGAUUGAGGUUUGGUUCCUCUCAUGUGUUUGUGUUUUGGUUAUUGACCUUGUUAUGUGUGAUUCACUUCUUUUUGUUGUUGUGUGUGUUUAGAGCUUGUAGCUAUAUAUGUAUUGAGUUUUUACGUAAAUGCGGAGAAGAAGUUGGUUGAGAAGCUGAUAAGUUUGGGGUAUUCUAGGCCAACAUCUUCAUAGCAAAGAGGGACCACCUUUCUGUUUGGUUGAAAGUGCCAUUAUGAUAUAUGUUCCUGUUGAAACAGAGGAAUUAUUAAAGGGGUUCAAUGCCCAUAUACUGAUUCACUGAUAGUAAUUUGUUUUGUUUUCCUCAAUAGUUGAUAUUCAAUGAUUUGGAGGUGUUAUAAUUGAAUCUUGAAUAGCUCAAGCUUUUUCCUUAUUAGGAGCCCUGUCUUGUUACACAAGAAAGGUUACUGUUAUGAAGAACAUUUCAAUUUUCCCUUAUCCGGUUUGUAAACAGUUGUUCCUAUGAAUUCUGUGUGCAUUGAUCUUGCCGCUUUUUCCUGUUUAUGACUGAUGUGAUUUCUGUUGCUACUUAUGUAAUUUAUUAACACAUCUUGUGGAACUGAUGGUGCAAAGCUGCCCUUUGGAUCAAUGAGACAAGUUGAUUAUAAUGGCUCAAUUUCAGGUCUGAAUCUGUAUUCUUCAGUAACCCAACACACGAUGCCAACUUUUUAUCUGUACAGCCAUCUGGAACCCAACACAUCAUCCUCCCUGAAUAUUAAUAUUUGUAAUUUUGUUGACACCUCCAAGAAUAGAAUUGAUACUUAUUAAAUGUUCAAAAAGUAAUCCUCUUAAGCAAAGGAUAAAGUACCUUUAAAAAAAUUUUAAGAUUGGAAUAUUAGCUUCCUUCUGUUCCUGAUAAAAGACUAUGAAGCUGAUUGGUGUAACCUGUAUCUCUACAAUUCAACAAAUUGCCAUGGACGGAAUCUUUGAUGAUAAGGAUGGGAUCAUAAGAUCUACGUCAGAUGCACACAACUCAUUACACUGUCAAAAUCAAUUAUUUUCACUACUAUGAAGAAUGCAGUGGAGAAAUAUGAAUCUGGGAAUUUGAGGCCGGAGGCUACAAAUGUUAUAUUUUCUUUCCCAUAAACCAAAGCGUAUGUUUGCGAGGUGGCAUUUGUUAUGUUGUUUGAAGUUUAAAU